rnacentral:rRNA from 1 species
UACGAGGGGGGCAAGCGUUGUUCGGAAUUAUUGGGCGUAAAGGGCGUGUAGGCGGUUUGACAAGUCUGAUGUGAAAUCUAUGGGCUCAACCCAUAGCCUGCAUUAGAAACUGUCGGGCUUGAGUAUGGGAGAGGUGAGUGGAAUUUCCGGUGUAGAGGUGAAAUGCGUAGAUAUCGGAAGGAACACCUGUGGCGAAAGCGGCUCACUGGACCAUAACUGACGCUGAUGCACGAAAGCUAGGGGAGCAAACAGG